UUGCAUGUGGAAAUGUCUGCUCCUCAUUCAUUUGGGAGCAAGAAUACAUUCAUAGCAUGCUACAUUAUAAAACGUGUUCUCGUGGUGGUUCACAGGCGGGAAGAUCACUUGAGGCCAUGAGUCAAGAUCAGCUUGGACAACA